UAAGUCAUGACGGUACCGGAAGAAUAAGCACCGGCUAACUUCGUGCCAGCAGCCGCGGUAAUACGAAGGGUGCAAGCGUUACUCGGAAUUACUGGGCGUAAAGCGUGCGUAGGUGGUUUGUUAAGUCUGAUGUGAAAUCCCUGGGCUCAACCUGGGAAUGGCAUUGGAAACUGGAUUACUGAGUGCGGUAGAGGGUAACGGAAUUCCCGGUGUAGCAGUGAAAUGCGUAGAUAUCGGGAGGAACAUCCGUGGCGAAGGCGGCUACCUGGACCAGCACUGACACUGAGGCACGAAAGCGUGGGGAGCAAACAGGAUUAGAUACCCUGGUAGUCCACGCCCUAAACGAUGCGAACUGGAUGUUGGGGGCAACUUGGCCCUCAGUAUCGAAGCUAACGCGUUAAGUUCGCCGCCUGGGAAGUACGGUCGCAAGACUGAAACUCAAAGGAAUUGACGGAACCUCAAAGGAUUUGAGGAUUUUAC
rnacentral:rRNA from 1 species